AGUGAACGCUGGCGGCGUGCCUAAUACAUGCAAGUCGAACGGAGUGGCGCACGGGUGAGUAAUAUAUAGCUAAUCUGCCCCUUGCUGGAGGACAACAGUUAGAAAUGACUGCUAAUACUCCAUAGAAAGGGAUGAGACUAUAUCGUAUCAGCUAGUCGGUGGGGUAACGGCCUACCGAGGCUAUGACGCGUCACUGGUCUGAGAGGAUGACCAUUCACAUUGGAACGUAGACACGGUCCAAACUCCUACGGGAGUCAGCAGUAGGGAAUAUUGCGCAAUGGGGGAAGCCCUGAGGAAGCAUCGCCGCGGGGAGGAUGUCACUUUUCGGAGCGUAGACGCCUUUUGUUAGGGAAGCGGUACCUAACGAAGAAGCACCGGCUAACUCCGUGCCAGCAGCCGCGGUAAUAC
rnacentral:rRNA from 1 species